AUUGAACGCUGGCGGCAGGCCUAACACAUGCAAGUCGAGCGGAGCGGCGGACGGGUGAGUAAUGCCUAGGAAUCUGCCUGGUAGUGGGGGAUAACGUCCGGCAACGGGCGCUAAUACCGCAUACUAUCAGAUGAGCCUAGGUCGGAUUAGCUAGUUGGUGGGGUAACGGCCUACCAAGGCGACGAUCCGUAACUGGUCUGAGAGGAUGAUCAGUCACACUGGAACUGAGACACGGUCCAGACUCCUACGGGAGGCAGCAGUGGGGAAUAGUGCACAAUGGGCGCAAGCCUGAUGCAGCCAUGCCGGGUGUAUGAAGAAGGCCUUCGUGUUGUAAAGUACUUUCAGCGGGGAGGCGUUACCCGCAGAAGAAGCACAGGCUAACUCCGUGCCAGCAGCCGCGGUAAUUC
rnacentral:rRNA from 1 species